AUUGAACGCUGGCGGCAUGCCUUACACAUGCAAGUCGAACGGUAACGCGGGGCAACCUGGCGACGAGAGGCGAACGGGUGAGUAAUAUAUCGGAACGUGCCCAGUAGUGGGGGAUAGCCCGGCGAAAGCCGGAUUAAUACCGCAUACGACCCAAGGGUGAAAGCGAGGGAUCGCAAGACCUCGCGCUAUUGGAGCGGCCGAUAUCAGAUUAGCUAGUUGGUGGGGUAAAAGCCUACCAAGGCGACGAUCUGUAGCUGGUCUGAGAGGACGACCAGCCACACUGGGACUGAGACACGGCCCAGACUCCUACGGGAGGCAGCAGUGGGGAAUUUUGGACAAUGGACGCAAGUCUGAUCCAGCCAUGCCGCGUGCGGGAAGAAGGCCUUCGGGUUGUAAACCGCUUUUGUCAGGGAAGAAAUCCUUUGGGUUAAUACCUCGGAGGGAUGACGGUACCUGAAGAAUAAGCACCGGCUAACUACGUGCCAGCCGCCGCGGUAA
rnacentral:rRNA from 1 species